GGCCUAACACAUGCAAGUCGAACGGCAGCACGGGAGCUUGCUCCUGGUGGCGAGUGGCGAACGGGUGAGUAAUAUAUCGGAACGUGCCCUAGAGUGGGGGAUAACUAGUCGAAAGAUUAGCUAAUACCGCAUACGAUCUAAGGAUGAAAGUGGGGGAUCGCAAGACCUCAUGCUCGUGGAGCGGCCGAUAUCUGAUUAGCUAGUUGGUGGGGUAAAAGCUCACCAAGGCGACGAUCAGUAGCUGGUCUGAGAGGACGACCAGCCACACUGGAACUGAGACACGGUCCAGACUCCUACGGGAGGCAGCAGUGGGGAAUUUUGGACAAUGGGCGCAAGCCUGAUCCAGCAAUGCCGCGUGAGUGAAGAAGGCCUUCGGGUUGUAAAGCUCUUUUGUCAGGGAAGAAACGGGUGAGGUUAAUACCUUUGCCUAAUGACGGUACCUGAAGAAUAAGCACCGGCUAACUACGUGCCAGCAGCCGCGGUAAUACGUAGGGUGCAAGCGUUAAUCGGAAUUACUGGGCGUAAAGCGUGCGCAGGCGGUUAUACAAGACAGAUGUGAAAUCCCCGGGCUCAACCUGGGAAUUGCAUUUGUGACUGUAUGGCUAGAGUGUGUCAGAGGGGGGUAGAAUUCCACGUGUAGCAGUGAAAUGCGUAGAUAUGUGGAGGAAUACCGAUGGCGAAGGCAGCCCCCUGGGAUAACACUGACGCUCAUGCACGAAAGCGUGGGGAGCAAACAGGAUUAGAUACCCUGGUAGUCCACGCCCUAAACGAUGUCUACUAGUUGUCGGGUCUUAAUUGACUUGGUAACGCAGCUAACGCGUGAAGUAGACCGCCUGGGGAGUACGGUCGC
rnacentral:rRNA from 1 species